rnacentral:rRNA from 1 species
UACGGGGGGGGCAAGCGUUGUUCAGAAUUACUGGGCGUAAAGGGCCAGUAGGCGGCCAACUAAGUCGGAUGUGAAAUCCCCAGGCUUAACCUGGGAACUGCAUCCGAUACUGGAUGGCUUGAAUUCGGGAGAGGGAUGCAGAAUUCCAGGUGUAGCGGUGAAAUGCGUAGAUAUCUGGAGGAAUACCGGUGGCGAAGGCGGCAUCCUGGACCGACAUUGACGCUGAACGGCGAAAGCUAGGGGAGCAAACGGG